UACGUAGGGUGCAAGCGUUAAUCGGAAUUACUGGGCGUAAAGCGUGCGCAGGCGGUUUUGUAAGUCUGUCGUGAAAGCCCCGGGCUCAACCUGGGAAUUGCGAUGGAGACUGCAAGGCUUGAAUCUAGCAGAGGGGGGUAGAAUUCCACGUGUAGCAGUGAAAUGCGUAGAGAUGUGGAGGAACACCGAUGGCGAAGGCAGCCCCCUGGGUCAAGAUUGACGCUCAUGCACGAAAGCGUGGGGAGCAAACAGG
rnacentral:rRNA from 1 species